rnacentral:rRNA from 1 species
AUUGAACGCUGGCGGCAGGCCUAACACAUGCAAGUCGAACGAGUGGCGGACGGGUGAGUAAUGUCUGGGAAACUGCCUGAUGGAGGGGGAUAACUACUGGAAACGGUAGCUAAUACCGCAUACCAUCGGAUGUGCCCAGAUGGGAUUAGAUAGUAGGUGGGGUAACGGUGCACCUAGGCGACGAUCCCUAGCUGGUCUGAGAGGAUGACCAGCCACACUGGAACGUGGACACGGUCAAGACUCCUACGGGAGGCAGCAGUGGGGAAGAUUGCACAAUGGGCGCAAGUCGGAUGCAGCCAUGCCGCGUGUAUGAAGAAGGCCGUCGGGUUGUAAAGUACUUUCAGCGGGGAGGCGUUACCCGCAGAAGAAGCACCGGCUAACUCCGUGCCAGCAGCGGCGGUAAUUC